GGUCAAUGACGCGCCAGAUACAUGCGUCAUCCGCCAGACACUCCCCCGAAGCCAGCGAGGAUGGCUGCGCGCGCGUUUGCGCGCUCGCGCGCGGCGACCCGUCUGUCUCCUUCUUUUUUUUCUUUUUUUUUUUCUUUUUUAACUGUAAGCUCCGCCAGACACUUCCCCGAAGCGAGUGGCCGGGGCGGUUGCGGGCGCGUUUGAGCGCUCGGCCGCGGCGACCCGUCCAUCUAAUUUUUUUUUAAUGUAUCCUGGUUUCUUGGGCUCUCGGCGUAUUCUUGCGUUCCUUCUGCACUGGGACAAGACACCACUGCACUAUUGGACUACGGCAAGCUGGUGCCGUCCGGUGGAGCUUCAUACAGGAACUACUGCCUUACCUGCUGGUGUCACAACGUUGGAUGAACGCACAAAAAGCGCGGAACGAGCUUUUAUAUAGAGCAAAAUAAAUAUUUCCUCAUUGCACAAAA